CGAGCCGGAGCCCGUGCCGGGCGCGCCCCGCCGCUGCCUGACUCGGCGCCCGCAAUCGGGGCGCAGCGCGCCGGCUGCAGGAGCGCGAAUGCCCCUCCGAGCCGCGGGCAGACAGGUCCUGGGCCCUGAGGCUGCCGGCGGACGAUGGGAACAACGGCCAGCACAGCCCAGCAGGCGAUCUCGGCGGGCGCCCCCUUCGAGGGCCUGCAGGACGGGGGCGCAAUGGACGGUCGGCCCUCACUCAGCGUCCACUCCUUUCAGACCACGGGCCUGCACAACAGCAAGGCCAAGUCCAUCAUCCCCAACAAGGUGGCCCCCGUUGUGAUCACGUGAGUGGCGGGGAGUGGGGGUAGAUUGGACUGGCCUCAGUCCUGGCUUCCCUGGAAGCUGUGGCUGGCGG
rnacentral:lncRNA from 1 species